ACUCUCAGCUUGGACUGGG
rnacentral:snRNA from 1 species